AUACAGAGGGUGCAAACGUUGUACGGAAUUACUGGGCAUAAAGCGUGCGUAGGCGGUUUUGUAAGUGUGAAGUGAAAGCCCACGGCUUACCCGUGGAACUGCUUUGCAUACUGCAGAACUAGAGGAUGGUAGGGGAAAGCGGAACUCUUGGAGGAGCGGUGAAAUGCGUAGAUAUCAAGAGGAACACCAAUGGCGAAGGCAGCUUUCUGGUCCAUUUCUGACGCUGAGGUACGAAAGCUAGGGUAGCGAACGGGAUUAGAAACCCUAGUAGUCC
rnacentral:rRNA from 1 species